GACGAACCGAGCGAACGUUGUUCGGAAUCACUGGGCUUAAAGGGCGCGUAGGCGGGCUCUCACGUCCGGGGUGAAAUCCCACAGCUCAACUGUGGAACUGCCUCGGAUACUGGGGGUCUCGAGGGUGGUAGGGGUAUGCGGAACUAUCGGUGGAGCGGUGAAAUGCGUUGAUAUCGAUAGGAACUCCGGUGGCGAAGGCGGCAUACUGGACCACAUCUGACGCUGAGGCGCGAAAGCCAGGGGAGCAAACGGG
rnacentral:rRNA from 1 species